UUCAAAGCACAUUUCAUGUUCAGAGCACCGGUUCUCAUCCAAUGACCGAAGUAAAGCAACGUUGAGCCUAGUGAGUACUUAGAUGGGUGACCGCUUGGGAAACCUAGGUGCUGUAAGC
rnacentral:rRNA from 1 species